rnacentral:sRNA from 1 species
CCCUAGCCCCGAUAAAAGUGAAAAUCCUUUUCUCUUGUUUUUUAACGAGAGAAAAGAUUGUAACGGAUAGCGGGAAAUAGC